UAGGGAAUAUUGCACAAUGGGCGCAAGCCUGAUGCAGCCAUGCCGCGUGUGUGAAGAAGGCCUUCGGGUUGUAAAGCACUUUCAGCGAGGAGGAAGGGUUCAGUGUUAAUAGCACUGUUCAUUGACGUUACUCGCAGAAGAAGCACCGGCUAACUCCGUGCCAGCAGCCGCGGUAAUACGGAGGGUGCAAGCGUUAAUCGGAAUUACUGGGCGUAAAGCGCACGCAGGCGGUUUGUUAAGUCAGAUGUGAAAUCCCCGCGCUUAACGUGGGAACUGCAUUUGAAACUGGCAAGCUAGAGUCUUGUAGAGGGGGGUGAGAAUUC
rnacentral:rRNA from 1 species